UUAUAGAUAUGAUGCAAAAUGAUCUCAUUAGACACAUUCCAACAUGCAAUACAAUAUACAACGCAAAACCAAUAAUUAUGUACUAAUGAGUUGAAAUUUAGUAUUUUCUAUUUACUUUCUCCUUCCAUUUCUGUUUUUCCGCAUAAGCCGCAGUUACGUCCAACAACGAUCCAUGUGAACACAUGUAUAGCCAUGCACUUGAGAGAUCUCUGUCUGUUGUUUCCCACCGGUGUGCUUCUUUUUACAUUUUACAUUGCGUUGUUUAAAACUUGUUAUUUUAUUUGUUUAAUAAGAUGAUAGAACUGUAUUGAUUUGUUACAGUAUGUACCCCGGCUGGUCAUAUAUUUAGAUUUAAUACAUGAUAUUAUUUAGAAAUUAGAUAAAUUUUUGAAAGUGACAAAAGAUCAAUUGAUUACUACAAUAUACAUAAUAUAUUAAACAACAAAUAUAUCCCUAACUUAUUUGUUAUCAAAAUUUUGUUUUGCUCCAAAAUCUCACAACAUUAUUGGUUAAUAGUACUAAGUUUCGAU
rnacentral:lncRNA from 1 species